rnacentral:rRNA from 1 species
AUAUCAAUAAGCGGAGGAGAAGAAAUUAACUAAGAUUGCCCUAGUAACGGCGAGUGAAGCGGCAAGAGCCCAAAAUGGAAAUCUUGUACACUACGUGUGCACGAAUUGUAAUCUAAAGGAUGUUCUCUCAACGGGCGGUGACGCAGAAGUUCCUUAGAACGGGACGCCAGAGAGGGUGACAGCCCCGUAUGUGGUGUCGCUGCCUAACGAGAGGGUGUUCAACGAGUCGGGUUGUUUUGUAUUGCAGCCCUAAGUGGGAGAUAAACUUCUUCUAAGGCUAAAUAUAUAUGGGAAACCGAUAGCGAACAAGUACUGUGAAGGAAAGAUGAAAAGAACUUUGAAAAGAGAGUCAAAAGACUUGAAAUCGUUGAGAAGGAAGCGGUAGAAAUUUAUUCUUCGGCGGAGGUCUGUGGCGGUUGCCUAACCAUUGCGGGCUGCCAGCACUGCAUAAGGCUGCGGCUUGUACCUGGGGAAGCAGCCGUUUUGACCUUCGUCGUGAGGCAAGAUGAGGUCGCGCAUCCACAAAGGCUUCCCACACCUGGCUCGGUUCGCCGGGCAGUGUGGGUGUGCCGGUGGAUGUACGGCCUGAGGAUGCUUCGUGCGAUCUUGCCAAAAUGGUUUUUACCGA